AUUGAACGCUGGCGGCAGGCCUAACACAUGCAAGUCGAACGAGCGGCGGACGGGUGAGUAAUGUCUGGGGAUCUGCCCGAUAGAGGGGGAUAACUACUGGACACGGUAGCUAAUACCGCAUACUAUCGGCUGUAACCAUAUGGGAUUAGCUAGUAGGUGGGGUAAAGGCUCACCUAGGCGACGAUCUCUAGCUGGUCUGAGAGGAUGACCAGCCACACUGGGACUGAGACAGGGCCCAGACUCCUACGGGAGUCAGCAUUGGGGAAUAUUGCACAAUGGGCGCAAGCCUGAUGCACCCAUGCCGAGUGUAUGAAGAAGGCCUGAGGGUUGUAAAGUACUUUCAGCGGGGAGGCGUUACCCGCAGAAGAAGCACCGGCUAACUCCGUGCCAGCAGCCGCGGUAAUUC
rnacentral:rRNA from 1 species